GUUGUAUGUGGCACGCUUUUAUCGGUGGUAAGACACAUUAAGUUUAUAAAAUGGACAUGUAUCCCGGCUUCAUGUAAGUUAUGGUAAGUGGGGUAUAUGAAUUCGUUAUUAUAGUCUGAUUACACAAAAAAUUAAACAAAGGCACCCUUAUACAUAAGACUUAAGCAGUCCAAAUGGUUCUUGGUGAAAACCAAAUGUAACUCAUUUCAUUCUCUGUGCAUCUAGAAGCCUCUUGCAAACAUGAUUUCAAACUUGAUAAGUCAUCAUGCAUCAAGUACAAGAAAGUGCAGUCAAACUUGAAUUCAUGAUUAUGGUUAGAAACUGAUGCAUAAAAAGUGUUACAGUUUUGUCUGUUGCAAAACCAAUUGAAUCGCAUCAAAAGAUUACUACUUGACUCAUCUGAAUUACUUUUAUCCUCCAUGUAGGGUUAUUUUGGUGCUUUGGUGCUAUUUUGGUCCUUAUUCCCUGCAUUGUAUAGACAAACAAAUAUUACAUAUAUUAUUAAGAUGUGCCACUCCUGCUGACUUUGAGGAGACUAGUAACUUGUGACACCUCGUUUGAUCCUGUUUGCAUCUUUGGCUAUAUUCAUGGCGAGAACUGGUUAAUCCAUAUACAAGUUUUUAUUUACACAAGUCAAUCCAGACACUGGUUGGGGUAGAGACAAUUUGGCAUCUGUGAGUACCCAGAGUAAACCCACGCUGACACAGGGAGAACAUGCAAACUUCACACAGAAAGGCCACCUGACCUAGCUGGGGCUCGAACCAGGGAUCUUCUUGCUGUGCCUUUUACUAUCAGGAGAACAUCAAGCUUUAUGUGCCUCAUUCUGGAGGCCACCGUAUUUUAAACAUGUUUAAUGUGUGACAAACUGACAGUGCUUGCAUUCUUCUCACUGCCUUUUCUACACUUAGCUCUCCAGAUAUUAAGGAUUAUACAUUAAUCUAUACAUUCAUUUGGUCCAGGUGAUACUCGGGACAAUGGAUUAAACAAUGGAUGAUCAGCCUGAAAGCCAAAAGAAUCUGCAAGGGUGUUCAGCCAACGUGUCUCACUGGACUUACUGCAUUGUGUAUUACAACUUGCAAAAGUGAAAGCAGCAUCCACACUGGAAGUCCUUCAAAGACGCUUCAUUAAAAUCAAACCAGAAAAGGGAACCAAGGCUGCAAAGGGAAAAGUGACCUCUAAAACAAGAAAACUGCAAAAGAAGACCAUCAACAGUCAGUCUCAAACUAUCAAAUCUUUUAAAAAGACUUAUGGACUUUGAGUGGUACUUCAUUUAAAAUGUAGCUGACACUUCCCACCAAUACAGCUUUUUUUUAAAUAUGGUGGGCUGCAGCCU